UAGUUGUAAACAAAUGGAAAUUGAAAGUAAAAGUGCAACGGCACGGUAUAUUUUUUCUGGCAUUUUUUGUUUUCCAAUAUCUCGAACUUUCACGACAAAAAGGUCAUUUGCCCGAAAUUCAAUACAUGUAUCAGUGAGAGGGGCUAAAGUUUGUAUGGAAGUCUAUGGGAAAACAUUUGGUGGUGUUUGUCCUAUAGAAUAGCAAUGCAUUAUCAAGAAGGAAGAGAUUAAUGAACCCUACCCUCUUACAAUGAACAACACAUGGACACUCUCGGGAUGAUCCCUUUGCUUUCAUUAAGAGUUCCAAGAUGUUGGUCUGAUUGACUGGGG